GGCGGAUGUAGCCAAGUGGAUCAAGGCAGUGGAU
rnacentral:tRNA from 31 species